rnacentral:misc_RNA from 1 species
GAUGAAGAACGCAGCGAAAUGCGAUAAGUAAUGUGAAUUGCAGAAUUCAGUGAAUCAUCGAAUCUUUGAACGCACAUUGCGCCCGCUAGUAUUCUGGCGGGCAUGCCUGUUCGAGCGUCAUUUCAACCAUCAAGCUCCUUAGCUUGUGUUGGGGACCUGCGGCUGCCGCAGCACCCGAAAUGCAGUGGCGGGCUCGUUGUCACACCGAGUGCAGUAAUCAUUCUUCUCUCCGGGCGUGGCGGCGGGUUCCGGCCGUAAAAUCACCAAUUUAUCAAGGUUGACCUCGGAUCAGGUAGGAAUACCCGCUGAACUUAAGCAUAUCAAUAAGCGGAGGA